GCGGAGGAAAAGAAACUAACUAGGAUUCCCUUAGUAGCGGCGAGCGAACAGGGAAGAGCCCAGCACCGAAUCCCGUGGCCGGUACCGGACACUGGGAAAUGUGGUGUUUAGGAGAAUCCAAUUAUCUCGGGAUUAUGCAGCGCGUCCAAGUCCAUCUUGAAUGGGGCCACUUACCCAUAGAGGGUGCCAGGCCCGUAGUGACCGUCGCUUGUCCCGGGAGGAUUUCUCCUUAGAGUCGGGUUGCUUGAGAGUGCAGCUCUAAGUGGGUGGUAAACUCCAUCUAAGGCUAAAUAUGACCACGAGACCGAUAGCGAACAAGUACCUUGAGGGAAAGUUGAAAAGAACUUUGAAGAGAGAGUUCAAUAGUACGUGAAACCGUUCAGGGGUAAACCUGAGAAACCCGAAAGAUCGAAUGGGGAGAUUCAAUGCUUCUCAAGGCUGGCCUGUUUUUGGUGCGCGAUGGUGCGGGAUUCGUCUCGCGCCACGUCGCCGGGGACUGCGCUCGGUCGCGAAGGCAUGCACUUCUCCCCUAGUAGGACGUCGCGACCCGUUGGGUGUCGGUCUACGGCCCGCUGGGUAGCCUGUCGCGUUCUUCGGAACGAGGCAGACCCGUGGUGUCCCGGCCGACUGCCCGACGGUAAAAAACACGGUACGGGGCCGCUUAAAUGCGUCCUGGCCCUGCGCAAGUCAUGGCGGUGCUUCGGGAUACGGACUCGUCCGUCCCGAACCCGCUUAGCUGCUGGCGCGGGUGUCCUCGGACAGACUCUGUUACCGGUCGGCGACGCUAUUGCUUUGGGUACUUUCAGGACCCGUCUUGAAACACGGACCAAGGAGUCUAGCAUGUGCGCAAGUCAUUGGGACAUACAAAACCUAAAGGCGUAAUGAAAGUAAAGGUUCGCUUAAGUGAACUGAGGGAAGACGGGUCGCGUCUCGAUGCGACCCCGCACUCCCGGGGCGUCUCACUCUCAUUGCGAGAAGAGGCGCACCUAAAGCGUACACGCUGGGACCCGAAAGAUGGUGAACUAUGCCUGGUCAGGUCGAAGUCAGGGGAAACCCUGAUGGAGGACCGUAGCGAUUCUGACGUGCAAAUCGAUCGUCGGAACUGGGUAUAGGGGCGAAAGACUAAUCGAACCAUCUAGUAGCUGGUUCCCUCCGAAGUUUCCCUCAGGAUAGCUGGCUCUUAUGUUUGAAACUUAUACGAGUCUCAUCCGGUAAAGCGAAUGAUUAGAGGCCUUGGGGCCGAAACGACCUCAACCUAUUCUCAAACUUUAAAUGGGUGAGAUCUCUGGCUUGCUUGAACGUGAAGCCAGAGAUUUGGAUCAGAGAGCCAAGUGGGCCACUUUUGGUAAGCAGAACUGGCGCUGUGGGAUGAACCAAACGCCGAGUUAAGGCGCCUAAACGACGCUUAUGGGAUACCAUGAAAGGCGUUGGUUGCUUAAGACAGCAGGUCGGUGGCCAUGGAAGUCGGAAUCCGCUAAGGAGUGUGUAACAACUCACCUGCCGAAGCAACUAGCCCUGAAAAUGGAUGGCGCUGAAGCGUCGUGCCUAUACUCGGCCGCCAGAGGCAAGUGAAGCGUUCAUUCGAUCGCUAUGAGGCCCUGGUGAGUAGGAGGGUCGCGGCGGUGUGCGCAGAAGGGUCUGGGCGUGAGCCUGCCUGGAGCCGCCGUCGGUGCAGAUCUUGGUGGUAGUAGCAAAUACUCCAGCGAGGCCCUGGAGGACUGACGUGGAGAAGGGUUUCGUGUGAACAGCUGUUGCACACGAGUCAGUCGAUCCUAAGCCCUAGGAGAAAUCCGAUGUCGAUGUUGGUGUGUCUUAUAAAUGAAAUACUUUAUUCGUAUUACACCCAUUGGGCGAAAGGGAAUCCGGUUCCUAUUCCGGAACCCGGCAGCGGAACCGUUAACUAGUCGGGCCCUCGCAAGAGAGUUCGUCGGGGUAACCCAAAAGGACCUGGAGACGCCGUCGGGAUAUCCGGGAAGAGUUUUCUUUUCUGCAUAAGCGUUCGAGUUCCCUGGAAUCCUCUAGCAGGGAGAUAGGGUUUGGAACGCGAAGAGCACCGCAGUUGCGGCGGUGUCCGGAUAUUCCCCUCGGACCUUGAAAAUCCAGGAGAGGGCCACGUGGAGGUGUCGCGCCGGUUCGUACCCAUAUCCGCAGCAGGUCUCCAAGGUGAAGAGCCUCUAGUC
rnacentral:rRNA from 1 species